AAGGUUUUUAAAAAAUCAGCAAACAAUUAAUACAAUUCUGUACAAACUCAUAGUGUGGCAACAUUUCAAGGAUGGCCGGGGAGCACUGCUGCUGUUGCUGGCAUCCAUCUGUCUUGAGAGACAAUGGAGGAUGCCACCGGGGGUGAAGUCAAACUGCUGCGUUAGCAACACCCAAGUGACCUCCCUGGGGCACAAGCCUAGGCAGCGUGUAUGGAAGUCCUGGGCUGCCCAGGACCUUGUGGAUACCAAGGAGUGAACCUGGGGCUUGAAGUUAGUAACCCAUAGGUUAAUUCUGUUGACUGUUAACCAACAAAGAGGUGGUCAUGGUGGUGUUACCUAGCAACCAGUCAGAAUGGCAUCAUCUUUGCCAUUCUGAUCCAUGCUCUGAUUGGCUGUGCAGUUCUGAGAGAGUUUUCCCCUGUAUGUUUCAUUGUUGGAUAUCCUCCUGCAAUGAACUAGGUCUGAACAAUGUGAAAAAAGGGGGAGGGGGAGAACACACCUCUCUGUUUAUUUCUCCUCUUUCCCCCCAGUUAUUUUGUUCACUUUACCCUGCAAGGUAUUAUUGCUUUCUUUUUCUUUCUGUGUUAUUUAAGAGAACCUUCUAACACUGGGGGACUUCUGCAAACAAAGGAAUAUUCUCCUUUACUGAGCUGGGCAGAAAAGCAGCUGUUGCCACCACAUCUAUCUGACUCUGAUGUGAUAGCACAAGCAUUUGUGACGACAUGUCUGCCCAAUGGCAAUAGCAUGGCAUUAACUGUUGUGCUGUCCACUUCCAGCUUGUGGCUGUAAGGUGAUGGACACACCUUGGAAAACAGCCACCGACAUUACAUCCUGGUCCUUCAGGCCCUCUCCUCUGUGCAUCAGCAUAAUGACUGACGCCUUGCCUCUCCUUAAGUGCUCUGCCUGUUUCCUCGUUCCCAGCAACCAGAGAACCCUGAUCUCCGAAUGUCACGAGCGUGUUGCUAUUUGACUACCAGGCAGACAACUUAAUUGAAUAAUCACUAAUAUGAAUAGAACCAGAGCACUUCCGAUGUACAUCUCAGAAGCAAGCAAUCAGUUUAAGCUAAAGGACUAAUGAAGACCUUGGGGAGAAGGAAAUAUAAUACUGGGGUUGAGAGAGAAUUAAUCUUCAGACUCAGGUAGCUUGCUGCGUAUUACUGCAGGCAGUAGGGACAAGUCAGGGGGGUGUCACAUUCUGUGAAGAGAUAAUUGGAAACCAUUUUUUUCCCUCAAAGAGAGUUUCAGGGAAAUAAAUUGGUGGUAUUGAAAUGCACUUGAGCUGUUAAAUGGAGGAGGUCAUCUGAAGGGCAAGCAAUGGCAUCGAUGGGGUAAUGGAGACACUGAGCUUGAGUAAUGCAGAUUGGGUUGGACAUAAUGAAGCAAUCUGUCAACCUCUUUCCUUUCUCCUGACAACCCUACCACCACUACUUCUUGCAUUAACUAGCAUUAAACAUGCAGGUUAUAUGUAGCUGAAUUUCCCACAGAUGGGAGUUGGAGUCCAACAAAAUCUGAAGGGCGCCGCUUUGGAAAAUCCAGUGUAGAGACUGAGUCAGUCUUGUUGCAGUCAGGCCCACUUCACAGCAAACAUGCACUGAAUUGGGUUGCAUGGUCCACCAAAAUCAGUGCAAUUGAAUUCUGUGUUGGAUUUUGGUCCUGAAGUUCUCCACCCCUCCUUCUGUUCCUUGGUGCAGGAUACAAGAUACAAAUGGAGAAAGAGUGCUACAAAAAGGUGUCUGCUUCUUGAACUAAACAAAGCUAAAAUAACAGAGCAAAGAUUUCCUGUUUGGAUGGUCUUCCUUUCUUCUUCAUGCAUAAUGUCCAAUAAUUUUAAAAAGGGAAAA